UCUCACCAAGCACAGAGGAGAACCCAGAUCAGAGCAGAAGACUUUUCACUCUACAGGGGAGCGCUGCCAGCAUGACACGUGUUAGCUUGCUGUGGGCAGUCGUGGUCUCCACCUGUCUCGAAUCCGGCAUGGCCCAGACAGUCACUCAGUCUCAACAAGAGAUGUCUGUGCAGGAGGCAGAGACCGUGAUCCUGAGCUGCACAUAUGACACCAGUGAGAGUAAUUAUUAUUUGUUCUGGUACAAGCAGCCUCCCAGCAGGCAGAUGAUUCUCAUUAUUCGCCAAGAAGCUUAUAAGCAACAGAAUGCAACGGAGAACCGCUUCUCUGUGAACUUCCAGAAAGCAGCCAAAUCCUUCAGUCUCAAGAUCUCAGACUCACAGCUGGGGGACGCCGCGAUGUAUUUCUGUGCUUUCAUGAAGCACACAAUGAGAUGAGCAGCAGGGAGAGGCUUACAGAAACCUCAGACCUCAGCAUCUGUGCAAAGGUCAUAGGGUGCAAGGGAGGUGGUGGGGUAAUAGGUAUAGAAAAUCACUGACUUCUCUUGGAAAUAAAAGCUUCUCCUAUUUCUUCUCCUAUAAGAAACUCAGAGAGAUGGCUGUCUGCAAGCUUCAAUCCUUAAAGUAACAGUACAGAUAAUGACGUGUG